rnacentral:lncRNA from 1 species
CAAAACAAACCAAAGUGAGAAACGUACCUUUCAUUACACGUCAAGCGUGGUAUUUGGUACAAUCCCUUUCCAAUUGUUCCAAGAUUCCAAAAAAAUAACAGUUUGAUGAUUCAUCAUUUUCAGGCUUUUGCUAUUUCUUUUGAGCUGGACCUAGUGGAACUUCUUUAUUCUUUAUUUUCUUGAACUUGUCGUUAGAGAUAUUAGCCAAGUGAGCACUUUAGUCCUGUCUUGCUUCAGCUUUUAUUCUUCCUGCACAUUGUAUGAAAUCAUCUCAUUUAGAGUCCACUUUUCUUUUUGACAGUUGUAACUGACCUUGAAUUGAUUGUACUGUCAGGAAGAGAAAUCAAAACAAAUGCACGAGCAAAUCAUCAGAUAGUUCAAACUUUAGUACCUCCAAUUUUGAAAUAAUAUGAGACACCUCCAUUAUGUACUUCCGAAUAUUUUCUUUACCUUUAUACCUUAGCGAAACUAAGUUCAUCAAAAACGUACUAGCUUGGACUUUAUCGCUUUUUGUAAAGUGUUUUUUAAUUUUAUCAAGAAAUUCCUUGAUAGUGGUUACCUUAUCAGACACAUUACCCCCGAAUGAUUCUGAAACACAACAUUUCAUGAUCAUAAGACUCAUGCGGUUUGAACGAGCCCACUUAUCAAAGUCUCCCCUUUUUAUUAGCAAAAUUUUUAUCUAUAAAUGCAGCGGGUUGUUCAGUCCUUAACGCAAGGUUUAAGUCCAUGCUGCCAUGAACAAUCUAAACAUUCUCCUUUUAGUCUUUAAAGUUGGUUCCAUCCAGCACAGGAAUGAGUUGAUGUUGGCAAAUAUUGUAGAAGAUGAAGAGUUAACUGAAUAGAGAAUAAAAUCAAAGAAAUAUGUCCACGUUAAAAUCCGUAUUAAACAAUUAAUAAAUUCAAAUAAUGGUAAACUCCCCCACCACAAGAUACCUAGCACAAUAUUGACAUUUAGUCUUUGGCCAGAAAUACCAACUUCUAAGUGGUGCUCUUGGCAUAAUAACCAAAUAUUGAUAAUAAACUAUGUCAAAUAAUAAACCUAUCUUUGAACCGAUCUAUUGUUUACAUUAAGGAAACC